CGUCACCUCUGACAGUAGCACGCUGGAGCUGGUGGGGAGUGUGGGUCAGCAAAGCCCCACUGAGGACCGGUACCUGCUUCUCCCGCGACAGCGCUGUCCAGGCAGACAGGCCUCCUUGAAGGAGGGGCGUCUGCAUCAGAGACCGCAGAGUCCUGAGAUUCAGUCAGCCCAAGAAAGUGGUCCCUACGCAUGUCCCCUGCACCAUCCCGAGGCCAGAGAUGGCUGCAGAGAAAGGACCACAGAUCUCUCCACACGCGUGGGCCCGGGGAGAAGACCUGGCCUUCGCCAGAGUGCUUGCUCCUCCUGAGACAGAGCUGGCGGGCAGAACGAGCCUGACAACACCGCAGCUGAAUCCCACGACCUGAGACCCAGAAACCCUCCUGUGCUCGGGUGGCCUGGCCACUGCUCCUGCCACUGUAGAGCCCGUGCUGGGCACCACUGAGCCAGUGCCAUGCCCGCAGUGUGACCGUGUAUGCCUGGGGACAGAUGUCAUCAGCAGAAAUAAAGUUAGGCAUGUUUUCCCCUAGACUUAUGAAUCCCUCCUCUGGAUCGGCAUGACAUUAACUGAACUCUGUCUUUACUGCUAAAAAGAAACUCCAGGUCAAAUGCAAUGCGCCAAAAACCUCAACAUGAAACCACAAGAAACAGUAAUAGAGAAAGGGGCCAACAGCAGAGCCCUGUCAGAAGACGUUUCUGUCUCAAGUGCGGAAUUCCGAGGGGGCUGGGACUUCUGCCGCCACACACUGAGCACAGGGCGCAACCCUGAGCAGUGGCCCCUGCAGCUGAAGACCAGGGCGGCUCGCAUCCACAGACGGGACGUGGGGGCCAGCUGACGCCCUCUCACCCAGGCCAGCGGGACCCAGCCUGGGAACAGCACUCAGAGGCCAAGAGAAACGACCCAGGCAGCGCAGGCCCAAAGCAAGGGGAGGGUCCAGAGAGAAGACGCUACACCAGUGUGGUAGCAUACGCUUGUAGCCCAGCAUUCAAGAGACUGAGGCUGGACGAUGCCAAGAGUCGGAGGCCAGCCUGGGCUAUGCAGUGACACCCUAUCUCCAAAAAAGCAAAUAAAUGACGAUGCCAACUGUCUUUAUCUGUUUCCUCUUGCUGCAGAACACCUGAGACUAGGCUCCAGCGCCAGAGUUUGGAGGAGCUCACUCAAACCCCAGCACAGCCAGAGGGAGAAGCCCUGCGCAGUGUGGUCAAGGAGGGGCGGAGUCAGAGGAUGACACCUAGAUGCCAUGGCUAGACAGGUCCAGGGCUGGAGGAGGACAUGAGGGCACACACUCACCAUCCACUUCCAUGAGCCUCAGCCGCGCCGAGCAGGUGUCCGUCCACCUGCAGCUGGGCAAAGCACAGGGCUGCACUCGCCAUGGCCACACGGUGCAGGAGGCAGAGCUGGGCACAUCUCUCAGAAACGUCUUCGGCGCACAUGGGCUGACCCAGCUUUUCUCAGGGCGUCACAGCCCAGCCCUGCCCAGGACACGCUUGGGACUGCGGCCACCUCUGCACUGUCGCCCUGCUCCUGGGAGCUGAGUCCUGGGGGUUCCUCUGCUUUCACCCUGGCGGCGGACUUGCCAAGCCUCCCCACUGGUCACAGGCCACAGCCCCUGCUUCCCACUGCCGCAGCCAUGGCUCCAAGGGACCACCCUUCAGCUUCCAGCCGCACUGCACAUGCCUGGACCACCCUGCCCUUUCUUCCAGCCUGAGCAGCUCUCCCAGCCUCCAGCUGUGGCCGGGACGGCGGUGGCAGAAAAGGCCGACGCAUAUUUACAGCGCUGCUGCCCCACAGCUGGAUGCCCAGGCCAGGAGUGUGACCCUGAAACACAGCUCUGGGACCAGCUGGGUCCCUGCUGGCCCACGCAGGGCACUCAGUGCUCCCACACCUGUGUGCUGCACACUGAGAGGUCUGGACACCCCCCACCCCAGGACCCCAAGCAGGAAAUCAGGUAGCGAAAUGAAAGGCAGGGGGAACUGCGAGUGUAGCAGGGCCAGAGAGGCUCUCUCUCCACACAGCCCCCUGGGCCAUCCUGGUCCUCGUGGGUAAUUUGCCCUCUCUAUCCACGGGUUCUGCAUUGGUGGAUUCAGCCAACUACAAUCGAUCGACUGGGGAUGUUCAGGGAAACACUGCACCCACACUGAACACUGAGGCCUUUUGUCUCCUCGUUAUUCUCAAAGUAAUACAAUGGAACAACUAUUCAUACAGCUUUUACCCUGCACCAUGCACAGAAGUGACCUGGAGGUAUUUAAAGUACUCAGGAGGAUGUGCGCAGAUUAUAUGCAAAUACUGUGCCGCUUUACGCCAGGGGCCUGUGCCACGACAGGUUUUGGUGUCCUUGGGCUCCUAGAACCAAUCCCAAAGGCACAGGGAGGACUGCAGCUGGGGCAUGUGCAGCACCCCGUGUGAGGCCCUGGCCCUGGCCCCUGGAUGGCGGGACAGGAACCACACACGCCACCCCGUCUCACGGGAACCCUAGCUCGGAUGGGACUGGCAGUGCAAAGGCGACCAUCGGGGUGUGCGCGCCCAGCUCUGCACUGUCCUCUGCUCUGUCCUUCCCGACACUUCACUCCGUCAGCGCACUCUCACCCCUGUCCAUCUUGGCCUAGUCUUCAAAUUUGUGGUAGAAAUCACAUUAGUUUCAAUUUUCUUCGAUUUCACAGUUAUUUAUUCUUUCCAACAUCUUAUUUAAAAACAGAAAAAACUCGAAACUGACUGCGUUCGUUCCUCUGAACCUUUAACACCCUCCUCUGGGUUCUCUCUCCCUCCCUCCCGCUUCCCUCUCUCCUAAUGUUCGUCCAGCAUCCCCACUGCAAGGCCCAUCCGGACCAGGGCCUGUGCCUGUGCUAGGACAUGUAAGAGCGUCCUUGCUCUAAACAUGCUCCCCAGUGCCCCAAGGACAGGGGACGGGCGGGGCCGAUGCAAAAGAAACUUCAACCCAGUGCAGUAGCCAGGCCUUCUGCUGCCUGCUGUGCUGUGCGGGGGCCACUGCUUGGGACGAGGACCAGAGUAGCUGGGAAGGGGACUCACAAGCUGUCGCCCAGGCUGACGUGAUGGUUCUCAGCAGACAGAACAGCGGACCAAACACUUGGAGAUGAGCUGCACAUACAAGGAACUCCAAUGGGCAUAAUUAAUCAACUGGAAAUUAAUACACAAAACACCCCUUCCCGGUUUGGAGCAUUUCCUCCCCGUGCCAGGAAGCCAGCUAAGCUCGAUGUCCAAGCUUUCUCAUUCAGUGCCUGCAGCAAUCUCGUGAGACAGGCACUGAUGCGUCCUAGUCUAGAUACGCAGAAACGAGGCUUGGUGAAGUUGAGCCAUCUGUCCAAGACUGGAUUUCCAAACAGCGCUGAGUACCUGACCACGGACAAGCUGAUUCACCUUUUGCACCUGGGUUUCAUCUACAAGAUGUGGAUGUGAGCAUCAGCCAG
ensembl:lncRNA